rnacentral:RNase_P_RNA from 2 species
GCGGAGGGCUGGAUGGCCGCUUUGUCGCGCUUUGCCGAGCGUUCGUCAGCGUCGCUUCGCAAAGACCGGCAGAGAGGAAAGUCCGGACUCCAUCAAGGCACGGUGCCGGGUAACCCCCGGGCACCUUCGGCAGAGCGAUCCGCCGGGGGUGACGGACAGCGCCACAGAGAACAGACCGCCCGUGCAGGCACGGGUAAGGGUGAAACGGUGGGGUAAGAGCCCACCGCGGGGGCGGCAACGUCCCCGGCGCGGCAAGCCCCACCGGGAGCAAUGCCGAAUAGGGAACGUGCGCCGGUCUGAUCCUUUCGGGGAUAUCGCGGCAGGGGCGCCUUGGCCCCGAGCGGUCCGGGUUGGCAGCUAGAGGGCGCCGGUAACGGUGCCCCCAGAGGAAUGGUCAUCGAUCCCCGGGUUACGGCCCGGGGGGGACAGAAUCCGGCUUACAGGCCCUUCGCGCAU